UGUCUCUCUCCUGCCUGCUUUUUUUCGUUUUGUUGCCGUAAAUACUUUUAGUAUGGCGUAAAUAUGUCGUGAUUUGUGUUUUAAGAGCGGAACAAGGCCCCUCAAAACAGAGAUUGAUGCAUCGUCAGCGAAGAACAGAAGCGUUGGAUGGGUACGCAGCUCGACCCAACGUCUAGUAACGAUGAGCUCGGCCGAGGCUCGACUCCCGGCGUGUUCUGUGGCCGUGCGGUGUGCGCUUGUGUAUGGGAAAUUAUCGUCGCUGCGUGUUGUCGUAGUGUGGGGAUAUUUGUGCUUAAUGUAUUUGACUUCGUCUACGAUGCUCUGCACAAUGCGGCAUCGAAGUUGUCCCGUGUUCGGGUACACGUACGCCGCUUGGAUGCGCCUGACACUGCACUCAACUAUAGCCAUGUACAGUUAACUCUAGAAUCAACAAAUGUUGGUGUUCUACACGCGCUCGUAACUUUCUGAGGAGUUCCUGUUGUCCUGGUGGAGCUCAGGAGUGAUCUACUGUCUGCCAUAGGUAACGCAAGUGAAAGGGUUUAAAAGCUGAAAAACUGAAGGUGAGGGCUCUAAGCACAGUGAAUUAUCAAGUGGCUGGUCCACCAAAAUACUGUGAUAUAAAGCAUGUUCUUUGCUGCUAGCUAAACCCACCAGUCAUAUGCUACUGUAGAUUUGCAUGAGGCGUCCUAGGCGCUCAAGAAGCUUGUUGAUUGCAUGCAAAUGAGCAACUUAUUGAUUAGCAUGUUCAAAUAUAAAUUUUUUUAUCCUUGUCACUUAAUGUUUAGUGGAGAAGGCCCUCACAAAUGGAGUGGCGUGGGAAGCGUGCAGCACUUGUCCAGACCAGUUUCCUGAUAUAUUGCAUCUCAUAAUUUCAUGGGUGUGUGAGUGAGCCCACAGAGUGGUUAGCACAUAAGAGAGUUCAAAGUGCUUGUACUUUAUACUUUCUGACUUACCAUGGAUUAUCCACUUCAUCUGUGUGAUAACUGUAUCAUGAAAAAGCAAGCGCUGUCUGUGGAGAUAUGGCAUUCCACAUCGUCUCUUUAAUGCUCGCGUGCCUGCCCAUAUUACUUUUUGCCAGCUAGCCAUCGCAGUAGCAUUGAUUUCAGAAGAUUAUGCAAGGAGAGCAGUGUCUGUUUUGGCUGUUGUGAUAUGUAGCAAUGCGCCACACAUUUCAUCAGCUGAAAAGAACAGUGGUAUCUUAUAGCAGUCAUUGCGAUUCCAACAGCAGGCUGGUGAAAAUAUAGCAUAUGAGCAGGCGCAUGAGUGUCCUGUCAUUUUUUGCAAGGUGCAUGUUGGGCAGGCUGGAAGCUGUAUUUGCAGCUGCCACAGCUGAGUCAUAAGUGUCAUGUUAUGCAUUGAAAAGUAAAGUUAACAUCAACUUGAAAGUGUCGCAGUGCUAUGGAUGAAGCCUAUAUAGUGUGUUUCUUUUAGGAAAAGCACUGCCAACUUAGCAAAAUUUAUUCUUGUCUAUGCAGUCUGUGGUGACAAAGGUUCCUGGACAUGGCCAUGGCCCUAAAGAAACUGAGGCCACCGGCUUCCAGUGUUUCUUCCUGUUCGAGCAAAGGUAGUCCAGCCUUGACUGGCUGGGCUUUCCAAAGUGCGCUAUCGCACCUUGGGCUAUCCUGUGUCACAAGCAGUACCUACAGUGAUUGCGAGGAGGUGCCACACAAACCUAACUCGUCACCACCACCGUUUUCCUGUGUUUUUAUACCAAGUGAGCUAACUAGUCACGUGUUGACCUUGCACUCUGCGGCUACGGCACAGAGGGAAGCAGCGGUGCUGUCCCAGGCCGGCCAAUGAAACUGCCCAUGCAGGCAAUCGCCUGCUUCCCGAUAACGGCAGAAAACAAAACUUUGUGGAGCUGGCGCUGGGCCGGUUUGAGCGGCGGUGGCUGCACGGCAGCGUGCACGCAUGUGUCAUAUGUAAGAGGCCGCCGGUGGCGCGAAAAAGAAAAGGAGCACGAGAAACACGGGGUUCCGAACGGUGCGAGCGCGCGAGGCGCACGAACCGAGGCAUAGUCGAGGGAUGAACGGCGCUGUCCGUGGAGUUUCAACGUGGCACCGGGUCAGGAAGGUCGCAUCUCCAGCUAUGUUCUGGCGACGGGAGACUUGGGGGUCUGGUUGAGUCCGCGACGCUGGCCGUCCAAGGUGUGGCCGUCGACCUCGGCAAGUUCUGGCGAGGCUCCUGGACGGGCUGCAGCUUCUCACGGCAGGACCAGGCACCCCAGAGAGGAUCCCCCUUCUGCGGCAGACCGGCACGUUCGAAUCUCCUCGGGACGCCACGUCGGCACUCCUGA